rnacentral:lncRNA from 1 species
AACACACUUUGGAGGCAAAUGUAUUGACUUUUCCCACUUUCUUCAAUUAUUCACUGUAAAAACACUGAAGUGGCACUUCUCGUUUCUUUCGUCUUCACGUUCCUUAAGUCUCAGAAACCUUCGGAGAAGGAGUGAAAAAUAUUCAAUUCACAAACAGUAGAGAAAUUACGGGACCCUCCUAUUUUGGUAAUACUUCUUCUUCAUUUUAGUUUCUACGUAUUUCUGUAAUUCUUUUAAUUCAUUUCAGCUCAUGUGUAAUUUUGUAAUUCUUUCAUUUUCACUGUUACUACGGGGUCCUCUAUGUUGGUACUUCUUCUUCCUCAUUUUCGUUUACGUGUGUUUUGUUACUUCUCCUUUUUCUUCAUUUCUUUGCCGUUAUUUUACUAUAAAAUACGUGAAAAGAAAAUGUGGCUGGAGAAUGAAGCAUUCAGUGGCCAAACAGUGCUAGAAUUGUGUCGGAGCACUGGCAUCACCUUUGAUUGGAGUUCGGCCGGAGACGAUUAGGGUUUUGAUUUCGAUUUAGAGAGAAGUGGAUUUUGUGGGUUUUACAUUUCAGGUUUUGUGUAUUUGCAUUUGUGGGUUUACGAAUUUCACGUUUUUGAAAGUUUUCUUUUUGUUUGGUUUUGGUGUUGUCUCUUUCUAAUGCCACGUCAGCCUGGUUUUAAUCCUGGCCGUGUAGCG